UUGAACGCUGGCGGCAUGCCUUACACAUGCAAGUCGAACGGCAGCACGGACUUCGGUCUGGUGGCGAGUGGCGAACGGGUGAGUAAUACAUCGGAACGUGCCUAGUAGUGGGGGAUAACUACUCGAAAGAGUGGCUAAUACCGCAUGAGAUCUACGGAUGAAAGCAGGGGAUCGCAAGACCUUGUGCUACUAGAGCGGCCGAUGGCAGAUUAGGUAGUUGGUGGGAUAAAAGCUUACCAAGCCAACGAUCUGUAGCUGGUCUGAGAGGACGAUCAGCCACACUGGGACUGAGACACGGCCCAGACUCCUACGGGAGGCAGCAGUGGGGAAUUUUGGACAAUGGGCGAAAGCCUGAUCCAGCAAUGCCGCGUGCAGGAUGAAGGCCUUCGGGUUGUAAACUGCUUUUGUACGGAACGAAAAGCUUCGGGUUAAUACCCUGGAGUCAUGACGGUACCGUAAGAAUAAGCACCGGCUAACUACGUGCCAGCAGCCGCGGUAAUACGUAGGGUGCAAGCGUUAAUCGGAAUUACUGGGCGUAAAGCGUGCGCAGGCGGUUUUGUAAGACAGAGGUGAAAUCCCCGGGCUCAACCUGGGAACUGCCUUUGUGACUGCAAGGCUAGAGUACGGCAGAGGGGGAUGGAAUUCCGCGUGUAGCAGUGAAAUGCGUAGAUAUGCGGAGGAACACCGAUGGCGAAGGCAAUCCCCUGGGCCUGUACUGACGCUCAUGCACGAAAGCGUGGGGAGCAAACAGGAUUAGAUACCCUGGUAGUCCACGCCCUAAACGAUGUCAACUGGUUGUUGGGUCUUCAUUGACGCAGUAACGAAGCUAACGCGUGAAGUUGACCGCCUGGGGAGUACGGCCGCAAGGUUGAAACUCAAAGGAAUUGACGGGGGCCCGCACAAGCAGUGGAGUAUGUGGUUUAAUUCGAAGCAACGCGAAGAACCUUACCAGGUCUUGACAUCCGAUGCAUAGUGCAGAGAUGCAUGAAGUCCUUCGGGACAUCGAGACAGGUGGUGCAUGGUUGUCGUCAGCUCGUGUCGUGAGAUGUUGGGUUAAGUCCCGCAACGAGCGCAACCCUUGCCAUUAGUUGCUACGAAAGGGCACUCUAAUGGGACUGCCGGUGACAAACCGGAGGAAGGUGGGGAUGACGUCAAGUCCUCAUGGCCCUUAUAGGUGGGGCUACACACGUCAUACAAUGGCUGGUACAAAGGGUUGCCAACCCGCGAGGGGGAGCUAAUCCCAUAAAGCCAGUCGUAGUCCGGAUCGCAGUCUGCAACUCGACUGCGUGAAGUCGGAAUCGCUAGUAAUCGUGGAUCAGCAUGUCACGGUGAAUACGUUCCCGGGUCUUGUACACACCGCCCGUCACACCAUGGGAGCGGGUCUCGCCAGAAGUAGGUAGCCUAACCGCAAGGAGGGCGCUUACCACGGCGGGGUUCGUGACUGGGGUG
rnacentral:rRNA from 1 species